rnacentral:rRNA from 1 species
GAUGAACGCUGGCGGCGUGCCUAAUACAUGCAAGUCGAGCGAACGGACGAGAAGCUUUCUUCUCUGAUGUUAGCGGCGGACGGGUGAUUAACACGUGUAUAACCUACCUAUUAGACUUGGAUAACUUCGGGAAACCGGAUCUAAUACCGGAUGAUUUUUUGAACCGCAUGGUUCAAAAGUGAAAGACGGUCUUUCUGUCACUUAUAGAUUGAUCCGCGCUGCAUUAUCUAGUUGGUAAGGUAACGGCUUACCAAGGCAACGAUGGAUACCCGACCUGAGAGGGAGGAUGGGCACACUGGAACUGAGACACGGUCGAGACACCGGCGGGAGGAAGCAGUAGGGAAUCCUACGGAAGGGGGGAAAGGGGAACGGAGGAAAGGCGAGGGAGUGAUGAAGGUGUAAGGAUGGGAAAACUCUGUUAUUAGGGAAGAAGAAAAGUGUAAGUAACAGUGAAGAUAAUGACGGUACCUAAUGAGAAAGCAACGGCUAACUACGUG